UAUUUACAAAUGUAGCUUUGGAAUAUGUUACGCUGUGUGAACUGGGGAAAGGGAAGGGGAAAGGACGUUUAAUUUUAGAACCAUGUCAUAUACUGAAGCUAGAGCAGCUUCACAAGAAAGCAUGUGAAAUAACUUAUCGGGGAAGCUUUAUUUUUAGAGUUGCUGAAAGCUAGCUUGAUAUCUUACUAUGUUUAAUAUGUCUGCCUAAAGUAACUUUUUUUUUCUUUAACUACAAUGUGCCUGAUAUAUGGGGUGAAGAAAUUUGGGCCCCUGUGCUGCAAACACUUAAGCAUGGGUUUAAUUUUAAGCACAGAGAUAGUCCCGUUGAAGUCUGCACCUGGGCAUAAAGUUAGGAACAUGCAUAAGGGUUUGCAGGAUUGGGGCCUCACAUCCAAUUGCCUCCUUUGUAAAGGGUAAUAAACAUGUGUACUGUAUGCUUACCAUGAGAAAAUCAUUAAAAUCUAACCUCCCUGACAAUCUGACUUAUAAACUGAAAGUAUCCUGGCAUGGAAUUGGGAUUUGAGCAACAUUUCUAAAAACUUCCAUAGUACUCAGCUAGCUUCUAGUUAUGAAUUACCUACCAAAUCUCAAAAAGGAUCUUUUUAAUCUUCAUAAUGGAAAUCCUCUUUGAAGUCUUCUUUGUAGAAGGUUAAUAUCUACGAUUAGGAUGACACAGUUUGCCUCUGCAACUGAUGAUUGAUUUUUUGGUUUUGGAGCUGCAUGAAUAGUUCAGCGUAAUUAGUCAAUUGUCCUUUCAUUGGAGUGUAGUGAUCCCAAUUUUUCCUAUUGGCAUGUGUGUCCAUUACAGGAAACACACAAAGCACCCACAAUAGCUUCUGCUGAUUGAGGGGUGCUUCCCUGUCAGCUUUAGUGGCUCUAAGCACGCUUCUGACCUGGGGUCUUUGCUGGCAUGUAAAUAUGUUUGAAAUGCUGUUGCCACAGAACAGGGAGAGCUGAAUUCCUAAAGGUAAAGCACCAAAACACAAUGGAACAGUAGCAGAGGUGAUUCUGCUGUAGCAGAGAAAAGAAGCAGGGGGGAACAAAUUGAUAGCGUAGCAGUACCUGGGUCUACCAAAAAUCAUGCUGCAAAGCUUGGGUGUCCCAGAUGCGUCCUGAUCCAGCACUUACUCAUAGAAGUAGCUCUACUGAGUUCAGUAGGGUACUUGCAGAGGACUACUCACUAAAGUCAGGGUUGCAGGUUUGCCUCCAUCAUUUUAAUUUUAGUACCAAGUAUUAUGUGAACUGCAGAAUUAGGAACUGAUAUUUUAGACCACUCCACUUGUCUUACCUCCCCCCCCCCUCCUUUUUCCUUUUUUUCUGUUUUUCUUCUUCUUUUGUUUUCCCUCCUCCUUUGUGUUGGUUGACUUUUGAUUUCUGUUGUCUGGUUAGACAAAUGAAGACAGGUGACAAUGGGUUAACUCUAGCUUUUACAAUUUCAAAUAUUACCAUACUAACACAGUUAUGAAAUGUCAAUGAAUUUGACCAGUCCAAGUGUAGCUUUUUAACCUAUUUUAAAUUUUCUAAUUUACAAAUUGAAAUGCCAGUAUCACCCAGUUGCAGAAUUGUAGAGAUGUCAUGUACAAAUUUGUACAGCACUAACUAGAUCGGAUAAGACAGUGUAACAUUAUUGUCUCAGCAAUGCUGAAGUGUCAAUUGGAUCUGUGGUGCCACCAUCAAAUGUCACCUCUUUAACAAAUUAAAAAGAAGUUCCCAAAUAAGCAGACAUUGUGGCUAUUGGGUCUGAUUCUGCUCUAACUUUACACCAGGAUGAUUACAUUGACUCAAAUAAUAUCAUUCCUGAUUUAUACCACUCUGAGUGGAGAAUCGGGCCCACUGAUUUCUAAUGGCCAUCUCUGAUGGGAUAAUAGUUCUUGCCCUAGUUAUCAUUCUUGAAUUCUAGAGACAUCUUCCUCUUCCUACCAAACCGUCCCGUUGCUUCACAAUCAGCAGUGCAAUGUUGUCCCCUGUGAGUAGGUAAUUUCUCUAUUAUUCAUAAUAAACAUAUAAUAAAAUCAGAGAAUCUCUCUGUGCAGUUGAUGUUGAACCCUUAUCGGAAGCUUUUAUAUAUUUCCCAAACUUCAUUCACGCAAAAUAGAGCUUCCCUGUCAAAUGAACUGCAGUAGCACGGAGCUUCAGCUUAUACUGUGCGAGCAAUGAAUUUGUUAGCUACCAGACUCUCCAUCUCUUCUUUUCUUUUUGUCUGUCUCUCUCCUUUCUUUUUUUCUUUCAGGCUCAGGCCCACAGCUGCAGAGGAAGAGCAAUGCCACCCUGUGGCAUGGAAUCACUUUCCCCAAGGGGCUUGAUGUUCAGUGAAAUACACUAGGAGUGCACAGUUCUGUAAAAUCCAUAGUUUUGUGAAUCUCUUCACCAAAGUCCUCUUCCUUGUUUAUGUAAGUGGCUAACUCACGAUUGCAUCCCCAAAGGGUGCAUGAGCCACGAGAGGGGCAGAGAGCCUGCUCCAACAGGAAAACGUUGGAGAGAAAAUGAGAGAGAAUUUAAGGGUCUGACUGAGUCCCUGGGAGUUUUUAAGACAUUUAGCACCAUGCAGGAAAUUUAGUGCUCAGUGACCGCAGUAAAUCUCAUUUGCUUGCAUACAACACAGAAUCCUUCCAUAAUCUUAAUUGCUAUAGCGAAAGGAUCUGAUUCUGCUGAGUUACGCCAGUGCAACUCUUCCUCAAAAUCAAUGUGAGUUAUAACAGAGCAAAAUUUGGUCCAAACUGCAGAAAUGACAGUGUUGGAAGCGGUGCAGUCUAACAUGUUUAGAAGUGCAGCCACCCAUGAAUCUCUCUCUUGUCUUUUAAAAAAAAACACUCUUAGUAGUAGGCCAAUGCAAUCUUGGGCCGUCCACAUCUAUCAUAGCUUUUAUGACCUUUCACAGAAAAAACACUGUGACAUUCUCUACCUUGGGGGAGUGUCCUGGAACCCCCAUAUUCCUCAUUUAUAUAAAGCAGGCCUUGUAAGGUAUCAGGGGAAAGGCUAUGACCCCCUGAAAGUCAUUUCUCUGUCCAUAUGUGUAUCAUUAAUGCAUGUGAAGUUCUGAGAAUUGUGUUGUAUGGUGGUCACUAAAACAUGCUGUAAGUUGGGGAAUCAACCAGGUAUUAGCUCCCCAGAGGCAACAGCAAGGAAAGUGACCAAUGCCCAGGUGGCGCCAUCAACAACCGUUGUCCAGCAAGGGAGCUAGGAUGCAAUGAUUCACCUGCAUGAGGCCACACCAGGGGAAUUGCUCAGCCUUGCCUAGAGACUCAGCAAGGCCCACCCAGACAUGCCAGGACUUGUGUUUUCCAAGCACAUGGACUGAGGGUAUAAAACCGACAGAGUGGCCAUAUGCUUGGCUUUUCUCCUUCCCCUACCUACGCUGCAAGCAACUAACACACUGAGAAGAAGACAAGACUCCAACAGAGGAGAUUGGCACAGAUUUCAAGGGGGAAAUCUGUAUAACAAGGACUGCAAUAUCCAGUGGGCUGCUGGAACCGUUCCCGUCCUGAUGGAGAUGAUUGUUGGAUUUGGCUUUGAAUAUCUUCAUUUCUGAUCUUGCCUUGGCACUUCAUAUGGAGCAGCUGACUGAGACAAUGAAAAUUAGAACCAUCAGUCCAGUGAUCUUCAGCCCUCCAAUGCGCCCACGUUUCAUUUCCGUGCAACAAGGUUGGUGUAACUGUCAUUCUAUAGACCUGCAGGUUCGUAGAAAGCUUGAUGUCAUGAGGUCCCCACAGAGGCCGCUGAAGGGCCUGAACCAUGGAUGCUGCUAUACAAGCAUCCACAUUUUUCAAGCAUCGUUCAGCAUUGUCUUGGACGCUACUCAAGUAUUUGACAGCUGGCAGCUGCUCCAUGUCCCAUUCGGACAGGUUAAUAUUGAGGUGGUUGUAAACAGCAAAGUAGCUUGCAUAGGUCUGGUUAUUAAUCCCAACAAAACGAAGUCUGUAGCCAUUACCAUCAAACAACCUGCAGCUCCAGAUUACAGUCAGCUCAGUAUUAACCUGUCCGGAUGGGACAUCAAGCAGUUGGCAACUAUUUUCACUUGCUUUACAAUAACUAAAAAUGGAGAAAGAUUCUUGGGUCCUGGUAGGAUUCCUCAGGGUACUUGGAGCCUUUAACAACAAGCAGGCCUAUACAUAAAUGUAAGAAGUAUGGGGGAAUAAACAGGAGGGACUGCAAAUAUUAGUACACAAGCUAAAUUAUGACUUAAUUGGCAUCACAGAGACUUGGUGGGAUAAAUCUCAUGACUGGAAUAUUGUGUAGGAAGGACCAGCAUGGAAAAAGGCAGGAGAUGUUGCAUUAUAUAUCAAGAAUAUAUAUACACUUGUUUUGAGGUCUAGAAGGAGGUGAGAAGCAUACCAGUUGAAAAUCCCUGGGGAAAGAUAAAAUGGAAAAAAAUAGGGGCGAUAUCAUGGUAGGGGGCUACUAUAAAUCAUGAGAUCAGGAAGAAGAAGUGGAUGAGACACUUCUAGAACAAAUAAUAGAAAUAUCCAAAAAACAAGACCUGGUAGUAAUGGGGCACUUUAACUAUCCAGACAACUGUUAGAAAAAUAUUGCAGCAAAGUACAAAAUGUCCAAUAAGAUCUUGGAAUGUAUUUUGGACAACUUUUUAUUUCAGAAAGGGGAGGAAAUAACCAGGGCAAGAGCCAUUUUAGACUGGAUUCUGACCAACAGGGAGGAAUUGGUAGCAAAUCCGAAGGUGGAAGGCAAUUUGGGUGAAAGUGACCAUGAAAGGAUAGAUUUCAUGAUUCUAAGGAAAGGAAAGCGAGAGCAGCAGAAUAAGGUUUACUUGGUCCUGCCUCAGCACAGGGGAUUAGACUAGAUGACCUCUCAAGAUCCCUUCCAGACCUACAUUUCUAUGAUUCUAUGUAUCCAUCCAUCUUAACCACUUCAUACUGUUCCUCAUGAAGAUCAAUAGGAAUAUGAAUCAGUGUAUCAGCAUGAAGAUGGAACUUCUUGAUGAAGGCAGGAACUUUAUCAUGGUCAUCAGAAAAAAGUUAAUGGGUUUCUAUAAACCUACCAUACCAGCUCUUACCAGCUUCUCAGGAAUUUCUUUCAAUACUGGAUAGUUGGUUGGUGAGUCAGUAAUAAAGCAUUUUUUCCUUUUAUGUACUUUACAUUUGACAAGUCAGUAUUCGUAAAAGUGUAUAAAAAUGGCUUAAAACAAACAUAUUUUUAACUUUUAGGGGAAGCAGGAUACCUCCAUUGCUCUCUCACUGAGAACUUUCUACUUCUUCCCAUAUCCUUUUCACCCACUGAAUCAACAUCUGUGCAGCAGUCACAUCUCAAUAUCUCUUGCAUACUUGGAAAUCUCCCUUCAGAUUCCCACAUGGAUCUAGAAUAAAGACUGGACAUAUGAAAGAAAACAGAAGUAUUUCUGGGAUUUGUUGCAUCUCACUUAAACUUUUUUGCAGAACAUAAAAUCCCAUGGAUUAUUGCGCACCUGGGCUGAAGAAUUGGUGUUAUGUUUCAGAAAUGGAAGUAAAUGUAGAUUUGUACAUUGCUAAGAAGUAGCAGCAAAAUGCGGGGCAAAUAGUAGCAGUAUUUGAAUGGAUGGCAUGAUGACAUGCAGGACGGUAUGGAAGCUACACUUGCACCUGAAGCUCAGCACCCUAUAAGGAGGGUAAAAAGAAAGCCAAUAGGAUCUUCUUCACCAUCAUCAUUUUUCAUACCCAAAGUCUGCAGAGCUACAACAGGCUUUCACAGAAGUCCAAUUGUGUCAGAGCUUUGUUGGGGGCCAGCUUGCCAGCUACACAUCUGAUCUGAAGAGCACUAGGAGGGGGCGUUAAACGAGCUGAGAAGUUGGCACUUAGAUGACCUGAGCAGAGAGUGCCGCAUGGAGAAGGUGCAAGGAGCAGUGAGGAACUUGACCUUGCAGCAAUGGAACAGCUGCUGUGCGGCUACUAAGUUAGUUCUCCUUGAUCGCAAGAAUAAGACGUAAGAAAGAAGUGCAGAGUUAAGAAGACCCAAAUUAGCAUCAAGACACCCCCAUUCAAUGCACUGUAUGUAACCACACUGGCAGCAGGCAUGAAGGAGAUCUGAUGCUUACUUUCGCCAUACUACACCCCAUGCUUAACUUUCCUUGCCCUCACAUGUAGCCUCCACUUGUGCUAUACCGCUCAAGGAUUUACAGGAUCAAGGCCAGUCUCUUCUCUUUUUAGGAUGCUAAAAGAAAUGAAAGGUAGAAAAACACAGUUGAGUCUGCCAUGAGAAACCACUUUCACACAACUAAAUAUCCCAGAGUACCACGAGAGUUGCAAAUAAUAGUUUUAACUGAGGCUUCCAUUUUUCUCUUCCAGGAAUUUUGGGGUUGGAAAUUAUCUGGUUUCAUCCCCAUCUGUACCGUCCACUCCUCAUCUUUGGUUGGUUUUUUUGGUUUUAGUUUUAAAAUAAAUAAAAUGCAAAUAUAAAACCAACGGACACUGUGUUCAUUCCUUGAUUAGUGAGUAUCAGAUCAGGGCUAUGGGCUGUGCACUGCAGUAAUUGUCAUGCAAAUGCACAUGAAGUUUACAAAUGAAUGGCUGUGAAAAAGAAACUGGGCCAUAUGCUACUUGCGCUGAACUUGGUGGCAAAAUUCCUACUGAGGUCAGGAGAACAGGAUCGGGCCCAUUAGGGCAGGGCCACUCACAACCUAUCUGAACUCUUUUCGCUUCCUUCCAGCGUACAUUUGAGGUUGCAUCGGUAGUAGAGCUCUUUCGUAUGGAAAAUUCUUAACGGUGAGGGAGCAGAUCUUUCAUAAUUCAAAUCAAGUGAAAACACAGUCUACUGAAGAUGUGUGCCCAUAACCUCCCACUGGCCUUGCCUGUGAGGUUGAAUACCUUUGUAAACAUUGGGCCUUUUCUGCU